rnacentral:rRNA from 1 species
CCAGAGAACUUUCCAGAGAUGGAUUGGUGCCUUCGGGAACUCUGAGACAGGUGCUGCAUGGCUGUCGUCAGCUCGUGUUGUGAAAUGUUGGGUUAAGUCCCGCAACGAGCGCAACCCUUAUCCUUUGUUGCCAGCGGUCCGGCCGGGAACUCAAAGGAGACUGCCAGUGAUAAACUGGAGGAAGGUGGGGAUGACGUCAAGUCAUCAUGGCCCUUACGAGUAGGGCUACACACGUGCUACAAUGGCGCAUACAAAGAGAAGCGACCUCGUGAGAGCAAGCGGACCUCAUAAAGUGCGUCGUAGUCCGGAUUGGAGUCUGCAACUCGACUCCAUGAAGUCGGAAUCGCUAGUAAUCGUGGAUCAGAAUGCCACGGUGAAUACGUUCCCGGGCCUUGUACACACCGCCCGUCACACCAUGGGAGUGGGUUGCAAAAGAAGUAGGUAGCUUAACCUUCGGGAGGGCGCUUACCACUUUGUGAUUCAUGACUGGGGUGAAGUCGUAACAAGGUAGGCGUAGUGCU